UUUGUAAUUUUUGAGUUCUGAUGUUGUAACGGAAGUGGGGUAUUUUCUCGCCUUGGAAUUUGGUUUCGGGAUUCUUGCGGCUAGAAGCAAGGGCUCUAAGUGCUUUUGCGGUGGAUUAGAAGUUGUGCUGCUGGUUUGGUUCUUGUAAUUCUUGCGAUUUUGUAGAGCGGCAUUGUAGGGUGGCAGUGCAAUGAUUGCUUUUGUUAUUUUCUUGUUCUCUCUUGUCCGUGAUCUCAAGGCAGCUGGAGCGGCAUUUGGAGUAGAGGAUUGCAAAAGUGCGAGGGUUGCCUAGGUCCUUCUUCGACUGAUGUUGGACUCCGAUUUGUGCUGCACCUCUCCAUGGAGCUUGCCAGACAUCACACUACAUUGGAUGCACUUCGUCAAAUCACACAUUCUAUCUUCCUUGGCAUUUUGUCUGCUUGCUUAAACAAUUGCAGCCGACAUCGAGGGUGGGACUGACUGCUACGGAGGUUAUCGGGGUCAUUUUUUCUCAUUACGUGCGUGCGGUGCUGUGGUGGAGAUCCUCGUUGUAGUGGAUCAAAUCCCUGCGGUGAUAGUAGGAGUUCCCUAUGCUAUAUUGCGAUUGGGUGGCGGAGCUGUCCUAGUUUGGAAUGGCGCUGUGUUUGCAAGCUGAGGCUCCAUUGGUUCUUGAUUUCCCUUGCGGUGCUGCUCAACAUCGGCAUUGUGAAGUUUAAACGGCUGUGGAGAUCUCCGACGACUUCGCGGUGUCUGCAAUUAUUCCGCGUGUUGCAAAAGGAAGAAAGAGCCGCUAGGGAGAGUGGGAAAUUUGAAUUCCUUGAAUUUGUGGGACUGGUCUCUUUGAUGUCGGCGUGUGCGUGUUGUGUGGGCGUGAUGAAAAGUGGUGGCCUCAAGGCGGGUCAUUGGAUGGCUUUAAUUAGGUCGCUGAACUGAUUCUAAGAGCUAGUGGGUCGUUCCUUUUUUUUUUUUUUUUUUUUUUUUUUUUUUUUCCCACGGUUGCGAGAGGAAGUGGCUGGACAUCUCUAGAUUCAUUCUAUAGCUCGUCCAGAGGGUAGACCACAAGGAAUUGGCCGACUCCUCUUCCUUGGCCGCGGUAUUCCAACGUAGCUUUAUAAUUCCAGGACUUGUCAAGUUUGGAUUAGUCUGGAAGUGGCGUUCGGUGAUUGGGGAGCUUGCUGCUGACGGGAGCAAUUGGUCUUUGUAGAUCUUAUUUGGCUUGAUCAUCUUUUCUCCAUUCACAAAUUGUCGUAGCUGAUCCGAACCUACAGAGCCUGCUGGUGCUCCUUCUGCUAGCAUAUGGUACAUUUCAAUAGUAGUCAUGGUUUUUGUUUUGCUGUGCUCCUCGCCCCCAUUUUCCAAGAUGGUGUGACAAAAGCAAUUGCUUACUAGGAGAGCAAGUACGAAGGUGAUAGAGUCCUUGCAAAAAGUGGUCAAGAUUCCUGCAGCCUUGUUGGAUAGUUCCUGUUUUUGUACUAGUAAUCUAUAGUUAGACACAAUCUGUAGCACAUAUCAGUAGAAUUAGUAGCAAUCAGAGAAGGAGAGAUUUGCAUUGAAGGAAAGGCAGCCGUGAAGGAAGAGGUGGUACUAGUCAUCAUCGGAAGGUCAAGUCAAAUGACGUUGGGGAUAAUUUGUGAAGGCUAUUACAAUCAGAUCGGCAUGAAGAAGGUGGCCAUUUUCAAUCUCUGUCCAAAUCCAUUUUUUCAAAAAUGCUGAGAUUUAUAUAUCAAGUACAACAAUCAAGUACAACAUCAGGAAGUAGGCAAUGUUAAUAAAGUUAUCUUGUUGAAGUUUUAGAAGAUAAA